UGCAAGUCGAGGGGAAACGGCAUCAAGCGCUUGCGCCUGAUGGACGUCGACCGACGCACGGGUGAGUAACGCGUAUCCAACCUGCCCCACACUAAGGGAUAACCCGCAGAAAUGUGGACUAAUACCUUAUAUUUUCCACCAAGGGCAUCGUCGAUGGAACAAAGAUUUAUCGGUAUGGGAUGGGGAUGCGUCCGAUUAGGUUGUUGGCGGGGUAACGGCCCACCAAGCCUUCGAUCGGUAGGGGUUCUGAGAGGAAGGUCCCCCACAUAGGAACUGAGACACGGUCCUAACUCCUACGGGAGGCAGCAGUGAGGAAUAUUGGUCAAUGGGCGUGAGCCUGAACCAGCCAAGUAGCGUGCAGGAAGACGGCCCUAUGGGUUGUAAACUGCUUUUAUGCGGGGAUAAAGGAGUCCACGUGUGGAUUUUUGCAGGUACCGCAUGAAUAAGGACCGGCUAAUUCCGUGCCAGCAGCCGCGGUAAUACGGAAGGUCCGGGCGUUAUCCGGAUUUAUUGGG
rnacentral:rRNA from 1 species